UACGUAGGGUGCAAGCGUUGUCCGGAAUUAUUGGGCGUAAAGAGCUUGUAGGCGGCUUUACAGGUCCGUUGUGAAAACUCGAGGCUCAACCUCGAGACGCCGGUGGAAACCGUAAAGCUAGAGUCCGGAAGAGGAGAGUGGAAUUCCUGGUGUAGCGGUGAAAUGCGCAGAUAUCAGGAAGAACACCAAUGGCGAAGGCAGCUCGCUGGGACGUUACUGACGCUGAGACGCGAAAGCGUGGGGAGCAAACAGG
rnacentral:rRNA from 1 species